AGGAAUAAUACCACCCUGAAUGCACCAGAUCUCAUCUGACCUUAGAAGCUAAGCAGGGUUAGGUCUGCUUAGUACUUGGAUGGGAAAACACUCAAGACAAAAGUCCAAGGAAGUUAUACCUU
rnacentral:rRNA from 1 species